UACGUAGGUGUCGAGCGUUGUCCGGAUUUAUUGGGCGUAAAGCGCCCGCAGGCGGCUUGGCAAGUUCGAGGUGAAAUCUCCCGGCUCAACUGGGAGGGUGCCUCGGAAACUGCCAGGCUUGAGGCAGGGAGAGGGAUGUGGAAUUCCCGGUGUAGUGGUGAAAUGCGUAGAGAUCCGGAGGAACACCAAAGGCGAAGGCAGUGUCCUGGGGAGUACCUGACGCUCAGGUGCGAAAGCCAGGGGAGCGAACGGG
rnacentral:rRNA from 1 species